rnacentral:lncRNA from 1 species
CAAAUGGGUCCAUGUCAAUCUGAUUUAUUUCGCCUUUCAUUUUGAUUUGAUAAUAUCUGUUUCCAUUCAGUCCAUUUUCAGUGAGGAUUUCAAGCAGAUACUUGGUUUCAUUCAUAUUACAGUUUCUAUGUUAGUUCAGAAGAAAACUAAUUUUUUUUUUCUGUGACCAAUUAGAACUCAUGGAAAGCCCUAAGCCUCUUCUGUCAGUAGGUGGCAGGUUUGCUCUCAGUAUGACUCAGCCUGACUGUGUCAGGCACUGUCAAGCAGGAAGUCACCAGUAGAUGACUUGGACUGCUGUGAAGUUAAACUACAGAGGCCUGUUGGUGAAAAAAGGAACCCCAAAAACCAGUCCUGAAGAAAAUGGAGUCAUGGGGGAAAAUAACACGUGGAAGAUGCCUGACUUCAAGCAACACCUAGCCCAGAGGCCUGGAUGGGGUGGAAGUGCCAGAAGUGAAUACCUACAGAGAAGAGAACCCAGUGGUGCCAAGAGGGAUGAGAAAGCAGAGAAAAGGAUGCCCUCCCCACCAGCAGUACCCAGGCAACUAUAAUCAAGGAAUUCAUCACUAGCAACUACCAAGAAUAUUAGAGGUAGCAGGUACAAAAUCACAUUCAAUUAUAAAAAUGCACUGUUUUGUAGCCAUUUCUAUUAGGUUUCCAUUAUUAUCUUUUGUGGCCAUAAGUCCCCUGAAUCCCACAGAGCUAAAAUCAAGAUGUCAGUUGGGC